rnacentral:rRNA from 1 species
UGUUUCGGCUAGGGGGCCAUCCCGGCUUACCAACCCGAUGCAAACUGCGAAUACCGGAGAAUGUUAUCACGGGAGACACACGGCGGGUGCUAACGUCCGUCGUGAAGAGGGAAACAACCCAGACCGCCAGCUAAGGUCCCAAAGUCAUGGUUAAGUGGGAAACGAUGUGGGAAGGCCCAGACAGCCAGGAUGUUGGCUUAGAAGCAGCCAUCAUUUAAAGAAAGCGUAAUAGCUCACUGGUCGAGUCGGCCUGCGCGGAAGAUGUAACGGGGCUAAACCAUGCACCGAAGCUGCGGCAGCGAACGUAUCACCCAAGACAACUUUACGGAGUUAACGAUUGACGGAGCGAAGCGACGUCAAAGCGUUCAUUAAAGUCGAGUUGGCUUAGGGAUACGUUCGUUGGGUAGGGGAGCGUUCUGUAAGCCUGUGAAGGUGGCCUGUGAGGGUUGCUGGAGGUAUCAGAAGUGCGAAUGCUGACAUAAGUAACGAUAAAGCGGGUGAAAAGCCCGCUCGCCGGAAGACCAAGGGUUCCUGUCCAACGUUAAUCGGGGCAGGGUGAGUCGACCCCUAAGGCGAGGCCGAAAGGCGUAGUCGAUGGGAAACGGGUUAAUAUUCCCGUACUUGGUGUUACUGCGAAGGGGGGACGGAGAAGGCUAUGUUGGCCGGGCGACGGUUGUCCCGGUUUAAGCGUGUAGGUGUGUGUU